rnacentral:piRNA from 1 species
UUCAUAGUGUGAGGUGGGAGAAAUCACCA